rnacentral:rRNA from 1 species
UACGAAGGGGGCUAGCGUUGCUCGGAAUUACUGGGCGUAAAGCGCACGUAGGCGGAUUGUUAAGUCGGGGGUGAAAUCCUGGAGCUCAACUCCAGAACUGCCUUCGAUACUGGCGAUCUCGAGUUCGGGAGAGGUGAGUGGAACUGCGAGUGUAGAGGUGAAAUUCGUAGAUAUUCGCAAGACACCAGUGGCGAAGGCGGCUCACUGGCCCGAUACUGACGCUGAGGUGCGAAAGCGUGGGAGCAAACAGGGAU